CGCUUAAUCAGGCAGAGCGUCCCGAUUGCAUCGGGGAGGUCAGGGGUUCGAAUCCCCUCAGCUCCA
rnacentral:tRNA from 1 species